CAGUAGCCGCGGUAAUACGAAGGUCCCGAGCGUUGUUCGGAAUCACUGGGCGUAAAGAGCUCGUAGGCGGUUUGUCGCGUCUGCCGUGAAAGUCCGGGGCUCAACCCCGGAUCUGCGGUGGGUACGGGCAGACUAGAGUGAUGUAGGGGAGACUGGAAUUUCUGGUGUAGCGGUGAAAUGCGCAGAUGUCAGGAGGAACACCGAUGGCGAAGGCAGGUCUCUGGGCAUUAACUGACGCUGAGGAGCGAAAGCAUGGGGAGCGAACAGGAUUAGAUACCCCCGUAGUCCCUGUCUCUUAUAC
rnacentral:rRNA from 1 species